rnacentral:rRNA from 1 species
AGCGAACGCUGGCGGCAGGCCUAACACAUGCAAGCCGAACGAACUCUUCGGAGUUAGUGGCGGACGGGUGAGUAACACGUGGGAACGUGCCCUUUGGUACGGAAUAACUCAGGGAAACUUGAGCUAAUACCGUAUGUGCCCUUCGGGGGAAAGAUUUAUCGCCAUUGGAGCGGCCCGCGUCUGAUUAGCUAGUUGGUGAGGUAACGGCUCACCAAGGCGACGAUCAGUAGCUGGUCUGAGAGGAUGACCAGCCACAUUGGGACUGAGACACGGCCCAAACUCCUACGGGAGGCAGCAGUGGGGAAUCUUGCGCAAUGGGCGAAAGCCUGACGCAGCCAUGCCGCGUGGAUGAUGAAGGUCUUAGGAUUGUAAAAUCCUUUCACCGGUGAAGAUAAUGACUGUAGCCGGAGAAGAAGCCCCGGCUAACUUCGUGCCAGCCGCCGCCGUAAGAC